AUGACAGAGGAUGAGAUGGUUGGAUGGCAUCACCGACUCAAUGGACAUGAGUUAGAGCAAGCUCUGGGGAGUUGGUGAUGGACAGGGAAGCCUGGCAUCCUGCUCUCCAUGGGGUUUCCAGGAGUCGGACACGAUUAAGCAACUGAACUGAACUGAGUGUUUGACUUAUAAUAUUUUUCAGAAUUAUUACUCUAUAAUUUUAAAAGUUGUCUGAUUUGAAGAACUGGAGUAAACUCACACUAGAAAAUAAAUUUCCUCUUGCUUAUCCUAUCCUAUCUGACUAUUCAAAAGAGAAGAAAUUCAAACUGGCAGUAAACUGUUACAAAAAUGGAGACAAGGUUGAGUUAGACAAUUCACUGGAUAACUUAUGUGAGAAAUAAACCAUAGGAUUUCAAUCCAAACUGGAACCAGAGUAUGUGAAACGGAAAAUCUCACGCAUGGACCCUCAGGAAAAUGAAACUUAAUAACAGGAAUAAUGAUUUCCCCUAGAAGCCUGAUUUACAGAAGAAUGGAAACUUAUUUUCUGACCAAUAAACAUGCGCCACGAGUCUCUCCUCAUACUUAAGCCAAUGGACUUACUGCUUGGACUUUGGCUGGAUGACCUGCUCUUUAUAUACCUUUUCCAUAAAUACAGUCUGUCCCAAAUCCUCAACAGACAUGCUUAAAGCUAGCUACAAUUUGCAUUUCCUAAAUUACAAUUCCUCUUCUAUUCCAGAGUAAACUCUUUGGCCAUUUAAACUUGCCUUGGUUUACCUCUUUAUUU
ensembl:lncRNA